rnacentral:rRNA from 1 species
GCUUACGGCCAUACCACCUGAACACGCCCGAUCUCGGAAGCUAAGCAGGGUCGGGCCUGGUUAGUACUUGGAUGGGAGACCGCCUGGGAAUACCAGUGCUGUAAGCU